UACAGAGGUCUCAAGCGUUGUUCGGAUUCAUUGGGCGUAAAGCGCACGUAGGCGGGUUGUUAAGUCAGGGGUGAAAUCCUGGAGCUCAACUCCAGAACUGCCUUUGAUACUGGCAACCUAGAGGCUGGAAGAGGUUAGUGGAAUUCCCAGUGUAGAGGUGAAAUUCGUAGAUAUUGGGAAGAACACCAGUGGCGAAGGCGGCUAACUGGUCCAGAUCUGACGCUGAGGUGCGAAAGCGUGGGGAGCAAACAGG
rnacentral:rRNA from 1 species